UGUGACUGACGGCAGAGGACAGUCAGGACUCGCUCCGGGGACGUGGUCUGUGCCCACACAGAUAAUUCUGCAUCCACCUACUGCACUGAGUUGCUGAUGGACUUCUUGCCCUCCUUGGAAUUUACUCAGUUGCUACGUGGGUCUGAAUCUGCAAAUAGGAGCCAUUAGCGACCCCUGCUAACCGGAGCUGAGAGACCCUCUAACUGCCUUUAUCUCAGAUCUGCUCACCUAUUACAAAUGUGACCGAGCAGUGGUUCUGAGCACUGACUAUGGGCACAGGUCUGGGAGGAAAUUCCAGAUCUGUCAUUUGCUGUCUAUGUGACAUGGCACAUUUCUUCACUUCUCUGUUAAUUAGCUUCUCUAAAAUACGGAUUAUAAUUGUACCUACCUUGAAGAAUGUCGAAAGAAUUAACGAGAUGAGUUAAUGGACACAGAGAGCAUAGAACUACUACUGCCUGGGCAAAUGAAAAUCUGAGACGUUGACCUUUUGAAGUAAUAGGACAUUACCCAACUGCAAUGGACUGAGUCAGCGCUGAGGGGACCAAGUGGCAAGAAUUUCAUCCAGCAAGUAGUCCACUCAGUCUCACAAGCAAUCCUCAACUUGGAUACUCCGCUCAACAAAAC
rnacentral:lncRNA from 1 species